rnacentral:lncRNA from 1 species
GCCCGUGAAGCACCCGCCUGGCCCUCACCCAACACUCAGUCCAUCCUCUGCAAAGUUGUUACUAUGCUUCUUCUCACUUUUGACAGGUGAUGGAAGCGGGAGAUACUGUCUCUGGCAUUGUUGAAAUACAGGGUGCUUUCUUUAAGGAAGUGUCUCUCUUUGAUUUAUGGAGGGAACCUGGAUUCAACUCCACAGUCCUGAAGGCAAAGGAGAUCCGGAGGAGUCAGGCCUUGUUCCUGUUUGAGCUUCUGUCCGAAACGACCAGGAGACCUGAGGAGCUCCUGAGGUGAGCCUGGGACUGACGAGCCCACUGCAGUGUCCCUCUCCAGGAGCCUGAUUCCCCAGGAGGGAGAGUCGAAGUCCUGCCUGCCGUGGGUGUCGGUUCAGAUCUGCCUGCGCUUGCUCCUUCUUUCCUCUUCCCUGCCGCCCCUUUCUCCUGGGCCCCUUGUCUCGUUUUCUAGUGCAGGGCAGCUGCUCAAAGGUGUGACGUGCCCCCACAUUGACGCCAUGAGCGCCGACUCCUUUCUGGCUCACUUCCAGUAUUUCGAGAACAACUUCUCUCUGCUUUCACUGUAUCAGGUACCAUCAAAGCCCUUCCCUGCUUCUCAUUCUCUCUCCCUACCCCGGUCACCGGGUGGAUUAACUGUGGUGUCUUAAGAUACUCGUGCCAGAUUACUGAUGCAGGUGAUGAUAUGGGGCCAGGUAUUGAGCCAGCUUUUCUCUAAUUUCUGUUUUAAGAGCUCCACAUACCCAUGCCUCUGCAGCCAGAGUCUCAGCAGACGGGCUAUUCUAUACCCAGAUGUGAACCUCAGAUUUCAGCUGGCAAGUAGACCAUUUUUGCAUGUUCACAAUUAUGCUCCUGGG